ACGCUCACAAGAAUGUGAUCUAAAAAUACAGUCUAUACAGUGUCCAGAUUCUCGAUACAUUUAUGUAUUGGCCUAUCUGAUGCUUUUCCAGGAUCUACAGCAUCAUUCAUAGCCAAAUGUUCUACCAUAAGAGGGAAUGUAGCCUACAAAUGAAAAGGCAUUUAUCAGUAUACUAAACAUGUAGUUGGUAGCUUAUACAAGUUAUAUUAUUAUAGUUCACAACAGAAUAUAUAAGUGUAUUAGGCUAUAACAGUGUUCCAUGAAACCUUUUAGGUUCAUAAAUGUGUUUUUGCUAUUGUCUAUUUCGCCAGCAGACGGCGCUGAAGGCAUGUAACAACGUGGCUUCAUCUGUCUGUGUUGCUCACGCCUAACCUUUUGGAUAUAGCCUAUGUGUGAAUUUAUAUAUGUAUAAACACGUGCUUUUACGAGAUACAUAGCGGCUUGUUACUGUAUUUUGCUUCUCAUAUUCUAUCACCUUUCAUAGCUCACAUUUACAAUGUAAAUUAACCAUCAGAUCAUUAACAAAUAAAAACAAUUGUAUAGGCCUAUUUAAAACAUGUAUCUAUCUAUCCUAUAGGAGUUUUAACAAUGCCAAUUGUUGAUGUUAUGGGUUGAAAACCUAUGCGCAAAAUUGCAUGUUUUUUGGGCCUGUCAUUGAAGUAGUGACCGAACUUUUUUUGUUUACUCAAAUGUCCUACGACUAAGUGAAUUUCAACAACAAAGGAAUGGAAGUUAGGCUAUAUGUAGUCAUGUUUUUGUUCAGGCUUAUGUGCUGACAACACCCGAAACAAAACUAGGCAACUUAUUUGUGAUGGGCUUGCCUCCGUUUUCUUUUGGCAUUCAACUUCAGUUCAAGUGAAGCUCAUCCAUUUCAACAAUGGGGAAACAGCUAAGAUUAACUAUCCCCCUUUCAAUGUAAAAACCGAGCUGAAUUUGCUGAUCGGUUCCUUUUAUGUUAAGUUAACUGAAAACACUAAUAUUUAUUUCAUGGAUAGCUACACUACUUCUAAUUACUAACAGAAAAGGAAUAACAUCACCCCUAUGGCUAUAGCCUCUACAACUAGACCUCUACAUUCACAACUAUUACUACAACUGUUACUAUGGCCUAAUGGUAAUAAAGUGGUUGUUCUAAGCGAACUUGAUAGAAUAAUAUAGGCCAGGAUAUUUGUAUGUUUAAGUUUUGAUUGAUUUAUGCCCCCAUUUGCUUUGCCCCUGUUUAGUCGUUGAACAUUUAAAAAAUCAGGAUAUAGCCUACAAAUAGAAAACAUGAUAUAACGAUAUUUGCAAUUUGAUUCAGUAAAGAUACAAUAUCUAAUUAAGUUUAAAAUGCUAUUUAUUAUUCUCAGUAACUUUUUAAUGUUGGCUUAAAAUAAUAGCCUAUAUAAAUUGAAACAGCUGAAUUGGUCCAAUAUGCUGUUUACCUAACAACAUAAUUAAAUGUAUCCUACUGUAUAAUUUCUGGAUCUUGUAAUCCUUCGAUUUUCAGUAGGAAGCACUUAAAGUUUGCCAUCCUAGUGAAAUGUUUCCACUUAAAGCACUUGCAAUAAUAAAUAUAUAGCUUAGGCCUAUUGGUUGAUAACAGCAGAUUCUGCCUCAGUGCUCCACCACUGACCGCAAGUAACCCCGCCCCUUUAUGCUAAAUAAAAGACACAAUCCUGGCCGAGGGAACAGUCGCUCUGUGAUUGGUCAGGUAAAAAGGCAUUUAUUCCCUGACAGCCCUCAUCACAUGAAUGGUUGUCUAUUAACUUGUUCAAAAAGUAUCAGGAGUUGUCAAGGCUCUGGCGGAGAGGGAAAAGUAGUUUGUUGAUUCUUUGAGACCAAGAGAGAAGUUUGUGGACACAACAGGACCUACUGGCUCAAAGCAAAAAGACGUUUACUAUUUCUACAAAGUUACUGAAAACGACAAGGAGCUAUGCGCCUAAGGAUUACGAAGGACUACCGUGCAAAGUUUGUUGCCUGUAAAACCAAUGCUUUGAGGUGAAGAUUAUUCGCCCAAAAUGUUCAAGAUUCUCACCAAGGAUAACAGCACUGUAUAAGAAGAGGACCCAAUGGUUCCAAAAGGCCUGGUUUUGCUCUACCGCCGUUCGCCCAGUCUGCCGCAGCUAUUUGGACAGCAACAGGUGAAAAGGUGAGAGGAGAUUGCUGAAAUCCAUAUGACCAAGAUGACACGUCUGCCCAGGAGAUGGAUACCUCACCAGAUAUGUUUUCCCUGCCAUGGUUGUGAUAAUUGGAUUUUCUGGACACCUGUAUGAGUGCAGUAUAUCCAGCGGAUUAUAACCAGGGAAAGGGUGUCUUUCUGACGUUCUUGAUGUACAUCCAAUGAUGAGUGGGUGAUGGAGGUCCCUCUGCUGUAACCCUGACCUCCAGAGCAUAAUGACCGCUCCAAAGACAGGACCUAAGGAAAGAUGAGUCAAAUGAAACACAUCUUGACACCACUGCUUCUGCUGCAAACAUGAUGGCAUGAUCUGUCUCUGUGAAGACAAAAACAAUGUACCUGUUGUGCAACUCUCAUAUGGUUGGAUCAUAUGGUUCAUUUUGAAACGGUUAAACUGAAACAGUGAAACAUUUUACCAAUAGAGGCUACGCUGCUUAUGAUAUGAACUGUAUCGUCCGUUGAUGUAUUAUAUUUCAUGAUGUUACAUAUCUUCAAUAAAUUUAUUGGUGUCUUUGGUA